AGUGAACGCUGGCGGCGUGCCUAAUACAUGCAAGUCGAACGGAGUGGCGCACGGGUGAGUAAUGUAUAGCUAAUCUUCCCUACACUAGAGGACAACAGUUGGAAACGACUGCUAAUACUCUAUAGUGUAGGAUGAGGCUAUAUUGUAUCAGCUAGUUGGUUAGGUACUGGCUCACCAAGGCUAUGACGCAUACCUGGUCUGAGAGGAUGAGCAGUCACACGGGAAGUGAGACACGGUCCAGACUCCGAAGGGAGGCAGCAGGAGGGAAUAUGGCACAAUGGGGGAAAGCCUGAAGCAGCAACGCCGCGUGGAGGAUGACACUUUUCGGAGCGUAAACUCCUUUGGUUAGGGAAGCGGUACCUAACGAAUAAGCACCGGCUAACUCCGUGCCAGCAGCCGCGGUAAUAC
rnacentral:rRNA from 1 species